rnacentral:tRNA from 14 species
GGAGAGGUGGCAGAGUGGUCGAAUGUACCUGACUCGAAAUCAGGCGUACGUUAAAUCGUACCGUGGGUUCGAAUCCCACCCUCUCCGCCA